CCUACGGGGGGCUGCAGUGGGGAAUAUUGGGCAAUGGGCGAAAGCCUGACCCAGCAACGCCGCGUGAGGGAAGAAGGUUCUCGGAUUGUAAACCUCUGUCCUUGGUGACGAAAAAAAUGACGGUAGCCAAGGAGGAAGCCCCGGCUAACUACGUGCCAGCAGCCGCGGUAAUACGUAGGGGGCAAGCGUUGUCCGGAAUGACUGGGCGUAAAGGGCGUGUAGGCGGCCGAUUAAGUCUGGAGUGAAAGUCCUGCUUUCAAGGUGGGAAUUGCUUUGGAGACUGGUUGGCUUGAGUGCGGAAGAGGCAAGUGGAAUUCCCAGUGUAGCGGUGAAAUGCGUAGAGAUUGGGAGGAACACCAGUGGCGAAGGCGACUUGCUGGGCCGUAACUGACGCUGAGGCGCGAAAGCGUGGGGAGCGAACAGGCUUAGAUACCCCUGUAGUC
rnacentral:rRNA from 1 species